CGUCAUCGUUCAGGUGUUCGUCCAGUCCGGCGAAAAAGGGUUUGCCUAAAAUCGAGCAGAGGGAGAGAAGAAAAGUGCUUGGUUUUGUGCUGUACGGUAUGAAUUGUACGAUCAACCGGUCAGAGGACUACGUUUUGAUGGAUGCAGCCACAACACUGUUGGAAAAAUUGUGCUCUUUUCCGAACAUGAUACUGAAAAUUGGUUCGUUACCAGAUGUACACCAUAAAACCGGCUACGGGUUUGUGGGCCUAUACUGAAGAGGAGAACAAGAGAAGCACUAUUUGCAGCACAAUGAGUUAGAUCGAUGGUAAAAUGUGCGCACAACAGCGCACAAAUCGGUGCACGGGAUGGAACCUUUGUUUCCGACCGGUGUACGGUAUUGUUGCUGCGCCCUGCCAUCAUUCCGCCCAACUCGAAGCAAACGGAAUGGGGAUACGGACACGGUGAAUGAAUUGACGUAAUUUAUAUUGCUUGUUGGCUAUCAAUUUUCCAAUGAUUUAUGAUUCACACAAAUACCACUGUCACUGCCGGCAACAGGACAACCUCACUCCCUUCUAUGUCCCUUCUCGAUAGCUCUCUACCACACGCGUCGGAAUGCUAUUUGGCACUCGGAAAAGCCGGAUCGUGUGCGUACGAUGGAAAAGCCCUGUCGUAGGCGGAAGACGGUUGAAAUGUUAGCGACACGCAUUGUGCAUGCAUGUGUGCGUGUAUGUUUGUGUGCUUAUAGUGAUAAUAAAUUACUCACGCUAUUAAAAGCGUUCGU